GAUGAAGAACGUAGCGAAAUGCGAUAAGUAAUGUGAAUUGCAGAAUUCAGUGAAUCAUCGAAUCUUUGAACGCACAUUGCGCCCGCCAGUAUUCUGGCGGGCAUGCCUGUUCGAGCGUCAUUUCAACCAUCAAGCCCCCGGCUUGUGUUGGGGACCUGCGGCUGCCGCAGGCCCUGAAAACCAGUGGCGGGCUCGCUAGUCACACCGAGCGUAGUAAUACAUCUCGCUCAGGGCGUGCUGCGGGUUCCGGCCGUUAAAAAGCCUUAUUUACCCAAGGUUGACCUCGGAUCAGGUAGGAAGACCCGCUGAACUUAAGCAUAUCAAUAAGCGGAGGA
rnacentral:misc_RNA from 1 species